UGAUGGUGGUUUCGGCGCUGGUGGUCCUGGCGGUGGUGCUGGCGGUGGCUUCGGCGCCGGUGCUCCAGCUCCCAACGUCGCAGGCGGUUGGCCCCAGAAUUAGCUUCCUAGAGUGCUCUGCUUUUGAUCAGUCUUUAGUAAUAUCUAGCAUGAUGCCAGUAUGUUGUUCUGUCUAGUCUUACAUGGCCGUAUGGUAUCUUACUCGUUGCACUUUGACCGCCUAUAGUGAACCAUGUGUUGCUCUUUUGGUAUUUUCCUGGUAAACACCCAUGAGAGUCCAGGUAAUGGAUGAGUUCUCUACUUUUGUUCAGUCUACUACGUAGAAGAUUCAGUUAAGAGACCAAAUGUUGAUCUUUAUGUAGGAGAUCUACCUAUUUUUGAGCAUCGGUUUUGAAGUUUGAACAUGGAUAUCUGCUAUCUAUAAUAUAUAUGUAUAUUGUCACUUGUCAUCCGCCAUUUGUUCUUGUUGGUUUCUAUCUGUUUUUCUCAUCGCUUGUGUCCUUGAAUGAGUGGAUAGCUCUGGUGUUUUUCAAAGAUUUUGUUUCAGUUACCAUGCAGUGUCAAAUUUGGACUGGUUCUAGUUUUGUGACUGUUAUUCAUGCAAUCCAAUUUGUUGUGCACCUACUAUGGUAGUUUGUCUGCUCAUCGCCAUGUGUGUACUGUUUUUAGUAGAUUGUCAUAGUGUUAUGCAUUUUACUCUAACCCGUGCAAUACAUAUUUACCCAAGCAGCUUUGAAGAUGGACCAUGGAAAACUUCCGAUUUUUCAAUCUUUGGUUUAUACUUUGUUACAAAAUUAAUAACUAGUGGGCUUAUACCGAAGUAACUCCUGAAGUUAAAGGGAUGUUGGCUGAAGCUCAAAUGUCAUUUCAUAUCCUAUAUAAGGAACCUAUGUACCGAAAAAGGCUAAUGGAGGACGGGCUCCAUGAGCCUGUAUUGAAAUACAGUUUAUGUGCACUAAGAAUCAGGAAAAAAAAUUAGGCAUACUCAUAUACAUAUAUAGUACAGUAUGUACCUGAAAAAUUUGUAAUAAUAUAUUUUCAUACGUGGCAUGCAAAAAUACAAAUAUGUAUAUCAAAAUGGACUGGUUUUUUUUGUUGGGCUGACAUUUUUUUUUGCUCAGCUUAUGAAUCACCAUAUUUUUGAACGAAAUUUUAAAGAUCCGUAAUAAACAUUUACAAGUCUCCAUAGAAAAUUGUCUGAAUCCUUUUGAAACUUUCAAGUAAGUUUAUUAUUUAAAAAAAGGCUCCAUGGAGCCCACUGCUGAAACUUCACACUCACCUAUGUACCCAUUUCCUAUGGAUUUUCUCAACAGAAAAAACAUUUCCUAUGGAUAAGAGAAAGAGAAAGCCGGUUCCAUCUAUGUUCAUUGUCCCUUUUGUAUGUCUUCCUUCGUGUGCCUGCGGAAUGGGCAUGGGAGAUGGGAUCCUCUACUAAUUUCCCAUGGCUCCUUCUAAUCCAGGAAAGGAAAAAGGGUAUAGUGGAUCAGGGAUCCCAGACUACGUCGUAUUGUAACAUGUUAUCAACAGCUCUCCUCUGUGUUAAGGUAUGCCCAUGUCCUUCACCGUUUUUCUUUCCCAUGGCUAGAUUUGGAUGGUUACUGCAUAGAUUUUUUUUAUACAUGUUGAAACUAGUAUGUCAAGAUUUGAGCACAGCGGCGACGACGCCCAUGGUUGUUGUGUCCCCUCCUUGGAAGUGUCGUUGUGGUGUGUCGCACCUCGCCCUCUCCCGCUUAAAUGGAUAGAGGGAAAAAAGAAAGAAUAACUACCCACAUUCUACUAUAGUAUUUAGCAACCAUCAUGCUAAACCUUAUAAUUAUAAUCAACCAAUAAAUGAUAUUGGUCAUACAUUCUCAAAAAAAUUGAUAUUGGUCAUAUGAAAUUUCAAAAACAUUUUACACCACAAGCUGUAAGCUGGGGAAUUAAGAUCGACAUAGUGACCUGGUUAAACAAAUUAUUGCAAAUUUAAUUGUUGAAUUAAAUUUGAAGCACCAUACACAUUUAGACAAGGAAAAAAUGUCCAUUCAAAAUAGUGAACUAAACAUUUAAGAAAUGAACAAAAGAAAAAAAAUCAAUUUCAAAAUCAACCAAAGGCAAAAACACAGUUUAAGGAACGAACUCAUGGAGUCAUGUUACCCAAACGAAUAAAUGAAAAAAAAACAUGAAUAAAAAUAAAAAAUAAAUUUAAGGAAGAAGAAUUCUAGAGGUGGUGUUCAGAAACAUAAACGGGCGACUAUCCAUCAGGCGCCUGAAAACUUGGUGGCAUUCCGUCAAAUUUAUUUGGACCAAUAGACUGAAAAUCAACGACUAUCAUUCAUCUUCUUCCUGAUCAUUUUCUUCUUGUAAAAAAAUAAUAAACAAAAGGUAAAAAAUUCAAAAAAUGUAGUUUUCUAAGAAAGAAUGAAUCAGUGGCACCGGUAUUACCCUAAAGAAGAAGGAAAAUAAAAAACAAAUAUGGCAAAAACUACCACAAAAUUAGCAAAGAAAAUUAUAAUUUGUAUAAUAUGCAAAGAGUAAGCAUACAAUAGUGCAAUUUUUGAACUCUAGUAUAAUUUAUACACAAAUUUAUAGUUUUACAUGUAUGCUUGCACACACAAUCAGAAAAUAAUAUUUUCUAAGAAAAAAUUGAAUUAGCGACAUUGGUAUUAUCCUUAAAACAUAAAAACAAAUAAUGACAAAAACAUGAACAUAAUUUGCAUAGAAAUUAUACUCUUUAUAACAUGAAAUAAUAUUGCAUGGAAUAAUGAAUGACAAGAGUGUCUUAAUAAUAAAAGAAACAAUAAUAUUUUUUUAAAUAAUAAUGUUAGACAACUAAGCCUGACAUCAAGAACUAUAAAGACUUAUUUUCAAGCUCUUUUCCAAUAUGCAAGAAUUAGAAUAUAUUAGAAAAUUGCAAACAUUUAUGCCAAACUUGCACUAUUUGGUAAUUCACAAGGACAUGUGAACUGGUGCAACUUUAAUAAUAAUUCCGUUCAAGUAGAUUGAUUAUAAAAAUAAAUUUCAUUUUAAGAUCAUCACACAAAAUUAAGUUGUGCCACACAAUUGCAUCAUUAAAUACGAUGUCAGAUACACAUAUAUAAGAAAAAAUCCGAUAGUUAAAAGCAGGCUAAGCAUGAAUAACAAAGGCAUAAGACUACACGCAAAAAAACCUUAAGACAUAAGACAAAAUUUAAAAGAUAAAAAAUUCUUAUUUAGAGGAACGAUGAAUUAAGGGAUUGGUUUACGCGAAAAAGAAGAAAGAAAAUGAAGAAAACCAAAGCAAAUGAUGACCAAAUUUUGUAACAGAUUUCGUAUAACUUGCAUUGUUCCACAAUAUGCAAUAAUAAGCUUAUAGUAGUGCAACUUCAAUAAUUAUUAUGAUUCAAGUAGGCCGCUUACAAAAUAAAUUUCAUUUUAAGUACCUAACACCAAACUAAGUAGUGGCACACGAUUGCAACAUCAAAUAUGUUGUCCGAUGCACAAAUAUUGGGAAAAUCCAACGACCAAAAAACGACUAAGCCAUAACAACUAAGACACUAUAAAAGAAUGAUGUGAUUUUUUAAGGUAGAAUGAAUUAAGGGCAUCCUCUAUAACAAUAUGCUCCCUAGUUUUAAAGAGCUCACAUUCAAUUGAGGUCUCCAAUUGAUAUUGGGUCACCCGAUUUUGACUGGGUCAAUAAUUUCUCAAAGCUCUCCCAUUUAAUUCUUGUAUACUAUACACUAUGCUUCCUAACCACAUUUAAUUGAGGUCUCCAGUUGGAAUUGGGUCACCUGAUUUUGACCGGGUCAACAAUUUCUCAAAGCUCUCUCAUUCAAUUCUUGUAUACUAUACACUAUGUUUCCUAUUGUUUAAGGCCCCACAAUUAAUUGAGGUCUUCAAUUUAGAAUUGGGUCAAACGAUUUUGACCAGGUCAACAAUUCUCAAGGAGCUCUUCCAUUCAAUUCUUUUAAUUCCUAUAUGUUCCUUGAUUUUGAAAUUUCUUUCAUUCAAUUGAGGUAUUUAAUUUUGGAUUUGCUUUACAGUUUUGACCAUGUCAAUGAUUUUUCAGAUCAAUCAGCAGUAAUCGGCCUAUAAAAACAUAUCAAUUCCCCCACCUUCCAUCACCUAGAAAAAAACGCAUCACCAAGUGAUGUUGUAGCAUCAAUAUAGUACAUGCAGCUAUCGAUGCAGAAAUUUUCCCACAUUAAUGUUGGAGAUAUGCCCUAGAGGUAUUCAUGUAUGAUGAUACUUCCCAUGUAUUUAUGAAUAAAGAUAGUACUUGGACGUUAUCAAUGAUGUGUAUCAGUAAGUACGUGACUUGUUUGUGGGACUAUACAUUGUAUGAUGACUGUCAUAAAAGGUCCCUAGUUGAAAGGGCUGUGUGGACGCGCAGCCGACUAGACUAGCAUAUGACAUGGUGGAUGGCUCGGUCUCACUAGCCAUGGAGCAUUUGAUGCUAUCCAUAUAAUAUUGACUCGGAAGGAUCUGGUCGGAUUCGAUGUAGUCGGAUCCGAGUCGAGAUAUGGUCCGAGUCGGACAUACCCAAGUAUGAGACACAGCGAUGUGUCAUCUGUGAGCCUCUAGUACAACAUACAUUCUAUGUCCUAAGACCUGAGCUGGCGCAUGUACUCGGGAUGGUGACAGACUUGCUUUGGGCCAACCAAACGCUAAUCCGUGACUAUGUAGUUAUAAAGGUAGGUUUCAGACCUGUCCAGACCCAUGCUGCGAGACAUGGUCGAGCAAGAUGGGAUGUGCCCCUCCAAUCAGGAGAGAUAUACUAUGGGCCCCUCGUGUGAUCCAACCAAGAUAAGCAUGGCCAUGCGACAACGACUAUGAGAUAAUCUGGUUUGUGAUCGACAUCACAAGAACAAGAAAGAGGUUGGGCUAGCACAAGGAUGACAAACUCACCUUGAGCUCGACAACCUAUAUCGUGUGGCAAAGUGAACAGAAGUUUGACAUGUUGUACAGAUUCGCUAACCGGCUUCAUUAUCUACUAGGUGGUCGGCAUGCCUUGCAAGAGGCCGCUACCAGCCGAGCAGGUUGGAGGUGAUCCGACCUGCGACCAAGCCGACUUGAACCUAAGGGGUCGCGCUCUUAAAGGAAGGAACCUGUGAGGCCCGAUCUGACUCCACGAGUCAGAUGUGAUCCUACUCGGACUCGGAUCCUGGCCGAACAGAUUUUAGGCUUUAGGGUCCGUGCGAGGCCCAAGUGUUGAGCCUGCGACGAACUCCUAGAUAUAGUGGAGGUGCGGCACACUCAUGCGGUUGAUCGCUUCGGCGCCGUCACUAGGGCUUUGCAUGUGUUGCAAGUAUCCACUUCCACUCGUCGCCGACUGUGUGAUCGGACCUAGCAGUCCGCCGCACAGUGUUCCUCCUCCACGCGCGGAUACCGUUAGAGGCGGUGCACUUGCGCCGCUCCGGCGAACCAGUACGCGGGUUCCGACGACCGGCUGUUCGAGGGAGAUCAGACGAGGAGGAGACGAACCACGCGGACGUGUUGCCCCAACUCUUCUUUCAUUGCACGGCACUGCGCGUCUAGUGGUAACGAUCCGUCACCUAUCUCUCGUAGCAUGUUCUUGGUUUAGGAAAUUUUAAUUUGCAGUCAACGUACCCUACCGUAGAACCUAACAAUUAAUAUAUGUUGGCUAGCGGAUAACACAGAACCACACAAUGAAAUGCCCAUCAGAUGACCUCAUUAUAAAUAAAAAUAAAACACACUCCAUCAUCUCCUCCAUCCCGCCAAACAAAAUAUUCCAUCAGUUCAAAAAUAUAAGGGGUAUUAGUUUUUUGGAAAGUCAAUUUUUUUUAACUUUGACCAAGUUUAGAGUAAAAAAUAUUGACAUCCAUAAUAUUAAAUAAAAAGAGUAUGGAAAUUUACUUCAUGAUGAAUCUAAUCAUACCAAUUUGAUAUUAUGGAUUCUCGUAUAUUUUUCUAUAAAUUUAAUCAAACUUAAAAGGUUUGACUUUUCAGAAAAGUAAUACACCUUAUGUUUUAAAAUAGAGUGAAUAUUAAUUUUUAAGAAACCUAACAACACCAAAGGUGCAACAAAGUGCGCCCAACCUUCUAGUUGAUAUUAUGCUAAAAAAAGAAAGAAAAUAAGGAGAAAACUCAAGCUGGUGACAACAUUUACAACAUAUUGAGUAGAACUUGCAUUGGUAAUAUGCAAUAACAAGCAUAUAGUGCAACUUCAUUAAUUAUUUUGAUUGAAGUAGAUUACUUUACAAAAUAAAUUAUGUUUGAAGUUCCUAACACAAAACUAAGUUCUGGCACACGAUUGGAGCAUCAUAUUUCAUUGUCACAUGAACAAAUAUUAGAGAAAAUUCGACAGUUCAACCCACUGGCGAACCGGAAUGAGGUUGCGGCCUCUCCUUAGGCCCAAGUGUGCUGAUUUCUCAGGCCCAUGUGUGCCAACGCAGAGAAACCAGUGACAGCAGAAAAAAAAUUCAGGUGCCAGCAGGCAGCAGCACAUGCCAUUACGUGAAGGUGAAGCACUUGGAAGCGGUUGACGAGUGCCAAAGCGGAAAGGCAGUGAAUACGCCUUCAACUAGACCCAUCUGCUGCCCGCUGGCAACGUCGACCGUCGAUCCAGGAACGAACAGCUGGGAUGCCAUUUGGUCCCGCCACUCACUAUAUAAAUACUCGAGGACGGCUGGCUGGGGCAGAUCGAACCCUACAAGGACCCGGAGACUUCGGAGCUCGGAGACGCCGCCGCCGACCACGCGCCGUACAUUUCGCCCGAGCGCCAUCGUCGUCGCCGCCAUGGUAAGAGCCCGUCGCCUCUGCUUUCACCUCAACUCCGGCUUGCGACCCAAUGCAGGUCUAACCCUUUCCCUCGCUGCGUGUGAUUGUCACAGACCUUCAAGCGCCGGAACGGCGGCCGCAACAAGCAUGGCCGCGGCCACGUCAGGUUCAUCCGCUGCGACAACUGCGCCAAGACCGUCCCCAAGGUACGUUGGAUCAUGCCGCUGUCAUCCAAAACUCUCUCCUCAUACACGAACUGCCGCGCCGGUCGUUGAUUAUGUCGGGGUUUCUUGUGGUGGUUCAGGACAAGGCGAUCAAGAGGUACAAGGUGCAGAACAUCGUGGCACCGGAAGGCAUCAGCUACUUCACGAAGGCGUCCGUCCUUGACGGUGCGGCUUUGGUUCCUCCUUUGAUUUCUUCUUCUUUUCUGUUCUUAACUGUUGGAGCAGUGGUCGCGGAUCAAACUGCUGCCUUGCAAGGCUGCGACAUGGAAAUUUCAGUACCGCACCUCUUCUCUGAUCCUCUUGUGAGUUAGAAAUGCGUGAACUCUUGGUGCGUUUGUGGCAUAAUUGACAAGUGUUUCGUUGCAGGCUACCAUCUGCCCAAGAUUUACCUCAAGGAGCGCUGGUGCAUAGGCUGCGCCAUCCAUAAGAAGAAGAUCGGUAUCCGCUCCCGUAAGGACCGCAAGAACCGCGCACCUCCGGAAGAGGUCCGCCGCCGGGUACGUGCUCCUCGUCUUUGACUCGUUCGAGUUUUCUCGUUUUCCAUGUUCAAUUGGUAGUUAGUUGUAUCUUCCUUGCAAACAUCCGCAUGGAUGUGCUUAGGGUCCAACCUUUUGGCAAUCACCCAUCUACUUCUUCAUGAAAUGUGAACUGCUGAAUAUUACUUGCCAAGCAUGUUGUUUUAUUUUGGUGAGAAGUAACUGACAUGCCUGGACAUGUUCCUGUGUGGAUUGAAAUGUUUAUGUGAAGAUAGUGUUAGUGUUGUAUUUACUUUUCAUGUGUUUGCCGUGUAAUAUCUCCCUUGUAUAAGGGGUUUGUAUGCAGUGAAUUCUUCAUGCUAGUGGUGUACUGGUGUUCCCUCACAGGGGUCUGAAUUUUUGUGAAUUUUUUUCUACCAAUGUUGUACUUGAAGGCUGAAGUAUAGGUUGUUUUCUGUCAAUGGUUGGUUGUCUAGCUAUUCCUUGUAUUUGAAUUAGUACUCUCGCUGUUGCAUUGAUGUCUGAAACACACGAGCUUCGAUGAUCCUUUAGCUAUCAUACUAUAUAUGCAAUCUUGAUCUCUCUGGUACUAGAAUGGCCGAACUAUGUGCUUGGUAUGUACAGUCAAAUAAUUCAUUCUUGUAAGAAGACAUGGUUGUGUGAUCCAUACCACAUACUCUACCUUUGUGUGGAUUAUUAUUUGUGUGAUUUCUACCAUCUGGCCUAAUGCUCUUGUGUCAUGUGGCUGAUACUUUAGUUUCAUUUUGCAGGGGCCAAGACCUGUGGGCCAAGCUCCUCGUCCUGGUGGCGUCGGCGGGGGUCCUGGUGGUGUCGGCGGGGGUUCUGGUGGUACCGGCGGUGCUUUCGGCGCCGGUGGUGCUGGCGGUGGCUUCGGUGCCGGUGCUCCGGCUCCCAACGUCGCUGGCGACUGGCCCCAGAAUUAGCUUCCUAGAGUGCUCUGCUUUUCAUCAGUCUAUUGUAAUAUCUAGCAUGCUGCCAGUAUGUUGUUCUGUCUAGGCUUACAUGGCCGUAUGGUUUCUUACUCGUUGCACUUUGACCGCCUAGAGUAAACCAUGUGUUUCUCUUUGGGCAUUUUCCUGGUAAACACUCAUGAGAGUCCAGGUACUGGAUGAGUUCUCUACUUUUGUUCAGUCUACUACGUAGAAGAUUCUGUUAAGAGACCAAAUGUUGAUCUUUAUGUAGGAGAUCUACCUAUUUUGAGCAUCGGAUUUGAACAUGGCUAUCUACUAUCUAUAAAUAUGUGUUUUCA
rnacentral:lncRNA from 1 species